GAUGAAGAACGUAGCGAAAUGCGAUAAGUAAUGUGAAUUGCAGAAUUCAGUGAAUCAUCGAAUCUUUGAACGCACAUUGCGCCCGCCAGUAUUCUGGCGGGCAUGCCUGUCUGAGCGUCAUUUCAACCCUCAUGCCCCUAGGGCGUGGUGUUGGGGAUCGGCCAAAGCCCGCGAGGGACGGCCGGCCCCUAAAUCUAGUGGCGGACCCGUCGUGGCCUCCUCUGCGAAGUAGUGAUAUUCCGCAUCGGAGAGCGACGAGCCCCUGCCGUUAAACCCCCAACUUCUCAAGGUUGACCUCAGAUCAGGUAGGAAUACCCGCUGAACUUAAGCAUAUCAAUAAGCGGAGGA
rnacentral:misc_RNA from 1 species